rnacentral:rRNA from 1 species
GACGUAGGGCGCAAGCGUUGUCCGGAUUUAUUGGGCGUAAAGAGCUCGUAGGCGGUUUGUCGCGUCGGCCGUGAAAACUUGGGGCUUAACCCCAAGCUUGCGGUCGAUACGGGCAGACUUGAGUUCGGCAGGGGAGACUGGAGUUCCUGGUGUAGCGGUGAAAUGCGCAGAUAUCAGGAGGAACACCGGUGGCGAAGGCGGGUCUCUGGGCCGAUACUGACGCUGAGGAGCGAAAGCGUGGGGAGCGAACAGG